AGUGAACGCUGGCGGUAGGCCUAACACAUGCAAGUCGAACGGCAGCACAGUAAGAGCUUGCUCUUACGGGUGGCGAGUGGCGGACGGGUGAGGAAUACAUCGGAAUCUACUUUUUCGUGGGGGAUAACGUAGGGAAACUUACGCUAAUACCGCAUACGACCUACGGGUGAAAGCAGGGGAUCUUCGGACCUUGCGCGAUUGAAUGAGCCGAUGUCGGAUUAGCUAGUUGGCGGGGUAAAGGCCCACCAAGGCGACGAUCCGUAGCUGGUCUGAGAGGAUGAUCAGCCACACUUGAACUGAGACACGGUCCAGGACCCUACGGGAGGCAGGAGUGGGGAAUAUUGGACAAUGGGCGCAAGCCUGAUCCAGCCAUACCGCGUGGGUGAAGAAGGCCUUCGGGUUGUAAAGCCCUUUUGUUGGGAAAGAAAAGCAGCAGGUUAAUACCCCGCUGUUCUGACGGUACCCAAAGAAUAAGCACCGGCUAACUUCGUG
rnacentral:rRNA from 1 species